rnacentral:rRNA from 1 species
UACGUAGGGGGCAAGGCGUUGUCCGGAUUCAUUGGGCGUAAAGAGCGUGUAGGCGGCCAGGUAGGUCUGCUGUGAAAACUCGAGGCUCAACCUCGAGAUGUCGGCGGAAACCAUCUGGCUAGAGUCCGGAAGAGGAGAGUGGAAUUCCUGGUGGUAGCGGUGAAAUGCGCAGAUAUCAGGAAGAACACCCGUGGCGAAGGCGGCUCUCUGGGACGGUACUGACGCUGAGACGCGAAAGCGUGGGGAGCGAACAGG